CCUACGGGAGGCAGCAGUGGGGGAUAUUGCACAAUGGGGGCAACCCUGAUGCAGCGACGCCGCGUGAGUGAAGAAGCGUUUCGGUGUGUAAAGCUCUGUCAGCAGGGAAGAAAAUGACGGUACCUGACUAAGAAGCCCCGGCUAACUACGUGCCAGCAGCCGCGGUAAUACGUAGGGGGCAAGCGUUAUCCGGAUUUACUGGGUGUAAAGGGGGCGUAGACGGCGAGACAAGACAGAAGUGAAAGCCCGGGGCUCAACCCCGGGACUGCUUUUGAAACUGCGUGGCUGGAGUGCAGGAGAGGCAGGCGGAAUUCCUAGUGUAGCGGUGAAAUGCGUAGAUAUUAGGAGGAACACCAGUGGCGAAGGCGGCCUGCUGGACUGCAACUGACGUUGAGGCGCGAAAGCGUGGGGAGCAAACAGGAUUAGAUACCCCAGUAGUC
rnacentral:rRNA from 1 species